rnacentral:rRNA from 1 species
AGAGUUUGAUCCUGGCUCAGAAUGAACGCUGGCGGCGUGUUUAAGACAUGCAAGUCGAACGGAGUAACAUGAGUAGCAAUACAAGUGUUGCUCAGUGGCGCACGGGUGCGUAACACGUGAGUUACAUGCCCUGCAGAGAGGGAUAGCCCAGGGAAACUUGGAUUAAUACCUCAUGGUCUCGCAAGAGUAAAGAUGGCCGUAAGGCUGUCACUGCAGGAUUGGCUCGCGGCCUAUCAGCUAGUUGGUGAGGUAACGGCUCACCAAGGCUACGACGGGUACCUGGUCUGAGAGGACGAUCAGGCACACUGGAACUGAGACACGGUCCAGACACCUACGGGUGGCAGCAGUCGAGAAUCAUUCACAAUGGGGGCAACCCUGAUGGUGCAACGCCGCGUGGAGGAAGAAGGUCUUCGGAUUGUAAACUCCUGUCAUCUAGGAGCAAGGCAUGGUGGUGAAUAGCCAACAUGAUUGAUAGUACUAGAAGAGGAAGGGACGGCUAACUUCGUGCCAGCAGCCGCGGUAAUACGAAGGUCCCGAGCGUUAUUCGGAAUCACUGGGCGUAAAGGGAGCGUAGGCGGCGUGGAAAGUCAGAUGUGAAAUCCCAGAGCUCAACUCUGGAACUGCAUCCGAUACUACCAUGCUAGAGUAUUGGAGGGGUAACUGGAAUUCUCGGUGUAGCAGUGAAAUGCGUAGAUAUCGAGAGGAACACUCGUGGCGAAAGCGAGUUACUGGACAAUUACUGACGCUGAGGCUCGAAGGCUAGGGGAGCAAAAGGGAUUAGAUACCCCUGUAGUCCUAGC